UACGUAGGGUGCAAGCGUUAAUCGGAAUUACUGGGCGUAAAGCGUGCGCAGGCGGCUUUGCAAGACAGAUGUGAAAUCCCCGGGCUCAACCUGGGAACUGCAUUUGUGACUGCAAGGCUAGAGUACGGUGGAGGGGGAUGGAAUUCCGCGUGUAGCAGUGAAAUGCGUAGAUAUGCGGAGGAACACCGAUGGCGAAGGCAAUCCCCUGGACCUGUACUGACGCUCAUGCACGAAAGCGUGGGGAGCAAACAGG
rnacentral:rRNA from 1 species